CGUACAGUGAUGAACAAAUCUUUGAAAUAACAAUAUGCAAUAGUAGGCAAUCAUUAUUGACCAUUAAAAUAAAUUGAACACAUGAAUUCUUGUUACGUGUCAGUCAAAGAAACACUAAAUGAAUUAGAUAACAAUUUACAACCAUUCGGAAGAUGAUAUGUGUUUCUUGAUAUAAAAGCAGCGAAGCAAUUCACGUUAUUUAAUGAAUAGUAGUUUCAUUGGCGAUGAUACUACAUAUCCUGCAUUUGUAUAUAGAUCACCGAUAGCGCCUACCGAAAGCGUUGGGUAUUGGUCCAAUUUGACAAAUUUACGUACAAUGUAGAGAUGUAGAGUAGGGUAUGUGCAUGCGAAAUACAAUUAUAAUCAAUUUGAUCUGCUUAGACGACUGAUGUCACUGAAAUGAAAAUAAACCCGUGUUCUUUCUUCUACGUUCCUUUUAAUUUAAUUAAAUAAUUAAUUUAAAGGCACGAACAAACUCUGAAAAUAUCAUAUUUGUUUCAAGUUAUUUUUAUAAAUUUAUUGAACAAAGAAUGUAUGAGGAGGCAUAUAAAAAGACAUUUAUCUGUCAGAUAACAAUAUUAUUAUUUUGUAAUUCUUGUUCGCGUAUUUACUUUAGGACCUCCAAUAAUGCAGUACUACAAAAACUGCCAAAGGCCUCGUUUUGGUAUCUUUUCAUUAGUUUAUUAAUAUUAGCUACAGUCUUACUUAAAUCGAUUUAUGCUACAAUUUCUCCAAUACAAAGAU
rnacentral:lncRNA from 1 species